rnacentral:piRNA from 1 species
UGAUAAAUUUUCAAGACUAAC